rnacentral:rRNA from 1 species
GGGCCAUCGCUCAACGGAUAAAAGCUACCCCGGGGAUAACAGGCUUAUCUCCCCCAAGAGUUCACAUCGACGGGGAGGUUUGGCACCUCGAUGUCGGCUCAUCGCAUCCUGGGGCUGUAGUCGGUCCCAAGGGUUGGGCUGUUCGCCCAUUAAAGCGGUACGCGAGCUGGGUUCAGAACGUCGUGAGACAGUUCGGUCCCUAUCCGUCGUGGGCGUAGGAAAUUUGAGAGGAGCUGUCCUUAGUACGAGAGGACCGGGAUGGACAUACCUCUGGUGUACCAGUUGUCGUGCCAACGGCAUCGCUGGGUAGCUAUGUAUGGACGGGAUAAGUGCUGAAAGCAUCUAAGCAUGAAGCCCCCCUCAAGAUGAGAUUUCCCAACUUCGGUUAUAAGAUCCCUCAAAGAUGAUGAGGUUAAUAGGUUCGAGGUGGAAGCAUAGCGAUAUGUGGAGCUGACGAAUACUAAUCGAUCGAAGACUUAAUCAAAUU